GUAGGGUGCGAGCGUUAAUCGGGAAUUACUGGGGCGUAAAGCGUGCGCAGGCGGCUUUGCAAGACAGAGGUGAAAUCCCCCGGGGCUCAACCUGGGGAACUGCCUUUGUGACUGCAAGGCUAGAGUACGGCAGAGGGGGAUGGAAUUCCGCGUGUAGCAGUGAAAUGCGUAGAUAUGCGGAGGAACACCGAUGGCAAAGGCAAUCCCCUGGGCCUGUACUGACGCUCAUGCACGAAAGCGUGGGGAGCAAACAGGAUUAGAUACCCUGGUAGUCCACGCCCUAAACGAUGUCAACUGGUUGUUGGACGGCUUGCUGUUCAGUAACGAAGCUAACGCGUGAAGUUGACCGCCUGGGGAGUACGGCCGCAAGGUUG
rnacentral:rRNA from 1 species